UCCAGACUCCUACGGGAGGCAGCAGUGGGGGAUAUUGCACAAUGGGGGGAACCCUGAUGCAGCGACGCCGCGUGGGUGAAGGAGCGUUUCGGCGCGUAAAGCCCUCUCGGCAGGGGAGAAGGAGGACGGUACCUGACUAAGAAGCCCCGGCUAACUACGUGCCAGCAGCCGCGGGAAUACGUAGGGGGCAAGCGUUAUCCGGAUUUACUGGGUGUAAAGGGUGCGUAGACGGAGAAGCAAGUUAGUUGUGAAAUCCCUCGGCUUAACUGAGGAACUGCAACUAAAACUACUUCCCUUGAGUACUGGAGAGGAAAGUGGAAUUCCUAGUGUAGCGGUGAAAUGCGUAGAUAUUAGGAGGAACACCAGUGGCGAAGGCGACUUUCUGGACAGUAACUGACGUUGAGGCACGAAAGUGUGGGGAGCAAACAGGAUUAGAUACCCGAGUA
rnacentral:rRNA from 1 species